AGAACGAACGCUGGCGGCAGGCUUAACACAUGCAAGUCGAACGCCCCGCAAGGGGGAGUGGCAGACGGGUGAGUAACACGUGGGAACAUGCCCAAAGGUACGGAAUAUUCUCGGGAAACUGGGAGCAAUACCGUAUGUGCCCGAAAGGGGAAAGAUUUAUCGCCUUUGGAUUGGCCCGCGUCGGAUUAGCUAGUUGGUGGGGUAAAAGCUUACCAAGGCGACGAUCCGUAGCUGGUCUGAGAGGACGACAGCCACACUGGGACUGAGACACGGCCCAGACUCCUACGGGAGGCAGCAGUGGGAAUCUUGGACAAUGGGCGCAAGCCUGAUCCGAGCCAUGCCGCGUGGAUGAUGAAGGCCUUAAGGGUGUAAAAUCCGUUUACGGUUGGGGACGAGUAAUGAACGGUACCCAAACGGUAAGAAGGCUACCGGCUAACGUUCGACCGCCAGCCAAGUCCGAC
rnacentral:rRNA from 1 species